rnacentral:rRNA from 1 species
AGCGAACGCUGGCGGCAGGCUUAACACAUGCAAGUCGAGCGGGCCUUUCGGGGUCAGCGGCGGACGGGUGAGUAACGCGUGGGAACGUGCCCUCUGGUUCGGAAUAACUCAGUGAAACUUGAGCUAAUACCGGAUACGCUCUUUUCGGGUAAGGCCUGCUGCCGGAGGAUCGGCCCGCGUCUGAUUAGCUAGUUGGUGAGGUAACGGCUCAUCAAGGCGACGAUCAGUAGCUGGUCUGAGAGGAUGAUCAGCCACACUGGGGCUGAGACACGGCCCAGACUCCUACGGAGGGCAGCAGUGGGGAAUAUUAGAGAAUGGGCGCAAACCUGAUCCAGCCGUGCCGCGUGAGUGAUGAAGGGCUUAGGGUUGUAAAGCUCUUUUAUCCGGGACGAUAGUGACGGUACCGGAGGAAUAAGCCCCGGCUAACUACGUG